rnacentral:rRNA from 1 species
CUGUCGUCAGCUCGUGCCGUGAGGUGUGGGUUAAGUCCCGCAACGAGCGCAACCCCUACUGCCAGUUACUAACAGGUAACGCUGAGGACUCUGGCGGAGCUGCCGUGACAAACGGAGGAAGGUGGGGAUGACGUCAAGUCAUCAUGGCCCUAUGUCCAGGGCUACACACGUGCUACAAUGGGCGAUACAGAGUGACGCGAAGCCGCGAGGUGGAGCAAAUCGCAGAAAUCGCUCUCAGUUCGGAUUGGAGUCUGAAACCCGACUCCAUGAAGGUGGAAUCGCUAGUAAUCGCGCAUCAGCAUGGCCGCGGUCGAAUACGUUCCCGGGCCUU